GAUGAACGCUCGCGGCAGGCUUAAUACAUGCAAGUCGUGGGGCAGCAGGACUGUAGCUCUACAGUUGCUGGCGACCGGCAAACGGGUGCGGAACACGUACGCAACUUACCCUGAACUGGGGGAUAGCCCGGGGAAACCCGGAUUAAUACCCCGUAAUAUAAUGGAGUGGCAUCACUUUAUUAUUAAAGCUUCGGCGGUUCGGGGUGGGCGUUCGGCUGAUUAGGUAGUUGGUUGAGGUAACGGCUCACCAAGCCUACGAUCAGUAACUGGUGUGAGAGCACGGCCCGUCACACGGGUACUGAGACACGGGCCAGACUCCUACGGGAGGCAGCAGUAAGGAAUAUUGGGCAAUGGAGGCAACUCUGACCCAGCCAAGCCGCGUGGAGGAUGAAGGCCCUCUGGGUUGUAAACUUCUUUUAUAAGGGACGAAACCUGUGUAUUCUUACGCAGUUGACGGUACCCUAGGAAUAAGCACCGGCUAACUCCGUG
rnacentral:rRNA from 1 species